AACACCUCAAACCUCUUGGUUUUUUCCAAGAGUUUUGGACUUGAGCAAACCCAACACCUUUUCUCACGAUUCGGUGGCGGGUUGCUUGAAAUGCAGGUGCAGCUGGACAUUCUCCUGAGCUAAAAGCAUAUCUAUUUAGUCCCGUCAAACGGAUUAUUACUUUUGCUGCAGCUAACAUAAAGGGAGUUUGACCGUAUUGGCUGACUGAUGCAGGAUUUCACAGAGUCGGAAACGAUUCUGUCAA
rnacentral:misc_RNA from 1 species